AUUGAACGCUGGCGGCAGGCCUAACACAUGCAAGUCGAACGGUAACAGGAAGCAGCUUGCUGCUUUGCUGACGAGUGGCGGACGGGUGAGUAAUGUCUGGGAAACUGCCUGAUGGAGGGGGAUAACUACUGGAAACGGUAGCUAAUACCGCAUAACGUCGCAAGACCAAAGAGGGGGACCUUCGGGCCUCUUGCCAUCGGAUGUGCCCCGAUGGGAUUAGCUAGUAGGUGGGGUAACGGCUCACCUAGGCGACGAUCCCUAGCAGGUCUGAGAGGAUGACCAGCCACACUGGAACUGAGACACGGUCCAGACUCCUACGGGAGGCAGCAGUGGGGAAUAUUGCACAAUGGGCGCAAGCCUGAUGCAGCCAUGCCGCGUGUAUGAAGAAGGCCUUCGGGUUGUAAAGUACUUUCAGCGGGGAGGAAGGGAGUAAAGUUAAUACCUUUGCUCAUUGACGUUACCCGCAGAAGAAGCACCGGCUAACUCCGUG
rnacentral:rRNA from 1 species